CUGCAACCUUAAAGAGGAUCAUAUGCUGUUUAUGUCAGCUCUACACCCCAGUGCUCCAAAAGCUAGAAUCUGCAUGUCUCAGGAUAGACAGUGGAAUAAGAUGGCUUCGCCUGAGGUUCCAACGUGUCUGCAGAAUGAUUUCCAUCAGAUUGCACGAUGUGGAUGGUCUGCUGAGAACGCUCACUUCAGACCAGAUGUUCAUCCGUCUUUAUUUUUUACAUCCACAAGAAGAGGAAAACAUUGCUCUUUCAGAGAGACCUCACACAUCAAGACACUGCAAAUUUCAUACCAGGAGGUCUAGGAAGAAUGAGAGCAGAACAUCACGUUACUACAUCAUGUUUCCCUUUCCCUGAACAUGAAAUGGACAAGCCCAAAGGAAAAAGUAAUUUCCAAUCAGAUGAAGUGUUCUAAAAGUUUUGGCCAAGUCCUCUCCCAUUGUCAAAUUUAAAGACUUAUUUCCUAGUAUAGUAUAACAGACCAGGCUCUACCCAAGUGCAGUAAGAAACAGUAUGUCUGCUUCUAACUUCCCAGGGGACAUAGUGUGCAGGUGUCCAUGCUCUCCUAUAAAGCAUUUCUGUGGGAGCUUUCCAAGCAAAACGCUGGUAUGACCUUCCAUGAUAGUUGUAUUUUACCUGAAAAAAAAUCAAAUUUUGCUCAUGUAAAUAUUCUGCUUUUAUUAACUUUUAGCAUUCAGUUUUUCUGAAAAGUUGUCCAUCUGUUAAGCAGUUAGUGAUCACGUCUGUGUUAAAGCAUUGGCUGAUAAGAGAAAAAAAUUCAAAUAAAACUCUCCAUCAAAAACUUUUGUGAUAAGCCAAUUGUUUUGAAAUGCUAAGUUUUCUCUGUUGUUUUUUUUAAAGUUAGGCAUAUUUAAGGUAAAAAUAAUGUACCAAUUUUUAGUAAGGAUAAUGUACAAAUUUGACUUUCCCUCUGAGCGUAGAUGUUCUUUAAUAAACAUUCUAAUGUUCUUUAAUUAAGUCACUUAUUCAACAAACAUAUACAAGCAGCUAGUGUGUGUUGGGCUAGGCGUUGAGUUAGGUAAAGGGAUGAUAAUAAGCUAGCACUUAGCACUUAUGCCAGGUACUGAUUUUUUCUAAGUGAUUUGCCUAUAUAAACCAUUUAAUUCUCACAACUCUAUGAGGUGGGUAUUGAAUUUGCCCAUUUUACAGAUGAAGAAACUUAAUCAGAGAGUCACGGUGCCAGGAAGUGCAAGCCAACCAAGCAGUGUGUGUGGUUUGAGUCUGGACUCUCAACCUCAAUGCCACACUGUCACACAAGACAAAUAAGACUAGCUCUUGGUUCUCCUGGACCUUAACGACCACAUCACCCAGAAAGAAAAGAAGAAAAAAGAGAAGGAAGGAAGGAAGGGAAACAAGUCACCAACUUAUGACAAUGUGAAUACUGUGAACAAAGAGUGUGAACAAAGUAUUCUGAGAGCACAGAAGAGAUGGUAAUUAAUUUUUCCUAGGGGAGGAUUAUUCAAGGCUUCCUAAAAACUGGGCCCUAGCAGGGGGGCGUGGUGGCUCACACCUGUAAUCCCAGUGCUUUGGGAGGCUGAGGUGGGAGGAUCACUUGAGCCUAGGAGUUUGAGACUUGCCUGAGCAACAUAGCAAGACUCCAUCUCUACAAAACGUUUUUUAAAAAUGUCAAAAACUACUCAGGCAUGGUGGCACAGGCCUGUGGUACCAGCUACUCUGUAGGCUGAGGUGGGAGGAUCACUUGAGCCCAGGAGUUUGAGGCUGCAGUGAGCUAUGAUUGUGCCACCGCAUUCCAGCCGGGGUAACAGAGCAAGGCCCUGUCUCUUAAACAAAACAAAAACAGACCUGGGCCCUGGAAAAAGGGAUGGCAGUUUGCCAAGCAGACAGGAAGAAAAUUCCAGACAGAAGAAAUGGUAUCAACCAGGCAUGGAGGCAUCCUGAAAGUCAAGUCAAGUUCUGGGAAUAGCAAAUACUUCAAGUGUUGUUAGAGUGGAGGAUGCAUGGACCAUGUCUGAGGUUGAGGCUGGCUCUCGCUUGUAAAUGGCUUUUGAACCUUGAGACUUUCACAAUGAAAUUCAAUGAAAAAUCAAUUUCUGGAUUUGGAGCCUAAGAGCCUCACCAUGUGAGUGGAUACCUCCAACAUCCCCCCACCCCUUGAGUCCAUUAGGUAAAACCAGUCAUGGUUUGGGGAAGGAAAUUAUGACUUUUCCUGAAUUUUAAAAAAUUUAAAAAGCUCUGUUUGCUUUUUUUUCUUAAGCUUAGAAAGAAGCCUCCAUAUGACCAUGUUAUUAGGAAGUCCUGAAAUUUCAAGCAGUGGAGAAACAUGUAUUUCCCACUUCUUUGGAAUCUAUUAUAUGGGCCUCUGCCAUGAAAGGAAAUACUCUUCGGGGCUUCUUCCCCAGCUCACAUUUGCCUCAUCUGCUGACUGUGAAAGAUUCCUCUGGCACAGAGACAGUGAGGUGGGCAUGUGGGACAAGGGCAUGGCCCCAAAGCCAGAGGUGCCCUGUCAUGGGUGUGAGGGACAUAAAGUGAGUUUUGUAUACAUGUAUGACUAUGUAUUGUAUUAGAGACGUUCCUAUCCUUUGAGUAACUUUUUGGAAAGACUAUAAAGGCUUUAACUUAAAAAUCGAAUCCGAGCGAGUUUUACUGGCACAAGCCAAAAGUACCCAAGUCUGCUUUAGACCUAGAACUACCCUGACUCCUAGCACGUGAUGCUCCUUGAAUCACAACUGAAUACUCUCAAAGUGGGUCUCUGACUGAGGGAAUUUUCUAUAAUUGGUUUUCGGAUUGAUGUUAGUAAUCUUUAGACAGUUGAAGAAUUUGAUUAUAAAAGUUAGCAUAGCUUCAAUGGGAAUAAGAACAAUGCUUCCUCCAGGACUUUUCAAGAUCAAAUUGGGAUGUGGGGUGGGGGAGAAAAUAAAAUCUGUAACAGAAAUAUAGAUGAAAGAAUGCUCUUCUGGUGGUGAUGACCCCAAGGCCUCUAGCCUUCCCAUCCCUAACCCUAAUCUGACUCACUCCUUGAUCAGCCUUUCUCUUUCCCCAGUGAUGGGAAAUGUUAUACUGGCUUAUUGGCUAAAAUUAUACAGGAUCCUCAUCUGGAUUAGGGUCAAAGAUGGCAGCAGUAGAAAAGCAUCCCCCAGAAAUAUGCAGGUUCAGGUCCAGACCACUGCAAUAAAGUGAGUAUUGCAAUAAAGCAAGUCACAUUAAUUUUUUAGUUUCCAAAUGCAUAAAAAGUUAUGUUUUUCCUACAAUGUAACCUAUUAAGUGUGCAACAUUGUGUCUACAGAGACAAUGUAUAUACCUUAAUUUAAAAUACUUCAUUGCUAGAAAAUGCUAACGAUCAUCUGAGCCUUCCGCAAGUUGUAAUUAUUUUUCUGGCGGAGGGUCUUGCCUUGAUGUUGAUGGUUGCUGACUGAUCAGGGUGGUGGUUGCUGAUGGUUGGGAAGGCUGUGGCAAUGUCUUAAAGUAAGAUCACAAUGAAAUGUGUCACAUUGAUUGACUCUCUUUCACAAAGAUUUCUCUGUAGCAUACAAUGCUUUGUUUGAUAGCAUUUUAUCUGCAAUAGAAUUCUUUCACAAUUGGAGACGAUUCUCACAAAACCUGCCGCUGCUCUACCAACUAUGUUUAUGGAAUAUUCUAAAUCCUCUGUUGUCAUUUCAACAAUGUUCAUGGCAUCUUCACUAGGAGUAGAUUCCAUCUCAAAAAAAAAAACAAAACUCUUUGUUCAUUCAGAAGAAGCAAUUUCUCAGCCACUUAACGUUUUAUCAUGAGAUUGCAGCAAUUCCAUGGCAUCUUCAGGCUUCACUUCUUAUCCUAGUUCUCUUGUUCUUUCUACCACAUCUGCAGUGACCCCUCCACUCAAGUCUUGAACCCCUCAAAGUCAUUCAUGGGUCUUGGAAUCAACGUCUUCCAAAAUACUGUUGAUGUUGAUAUUUUGAUCUCCUCCUAUGAAUCGGAAAUGUUCUUAAUGGCAUCUAGAAUGGUGAAUUCUUCCCAGAAGAUUCCUUCCCAGAUUUAUCAGAGGACUCACCAUCUAUGGCAGCUAUGGCCUUACAAAAUGUAUGUCUUAAACAAUAAGACUUGAAAUUCAAAAUGACUCCUUAAUCCAUGGGCUGCAGAAUGGAUAUUGUAUCAGCAGGCAUGAAAACGUUAGUCUCCUUGUACAUCUCCACCAGGCCUCUUGGGUGACCAGGUGCAUUGUCAAUGAGCAGUAAUAUUUUUAGUGGAAUCUUGUAUUUUGAGCAGUAGACCUUAACAGUGGACUUAAAUUAUUCAGUAAACCAUGCUAUAAACAAAUGUGCUAACAUCCAGGCUUGGUUGUUCCACUUACAGAGCACAGGCAGAGUAGAUUUAGCAUAAUUCUUAAGAGCUGUCAGAUUUUCAGAAUGGUAAACAAGAAUUGACUUUAAGUCACCAACUACAUUAGCUUCUAACAGGAGAGUCAGCAUAUCUUUUGAAGCUUUGAAGCCAGGCAGUGAUUUCUCCUCUCUAGCUAUUAAUAGUCCUAGAUGGCAUUUUUUUUUUUUUUUUAAGUAGGGACAGGGUUUCACCAUGUUAGCCAGGCUGGUCUCAAACUCCUGACCUCAAAUGAUCUGCCUCAGCUUCCCAUAGUGCUGAGAUUACAGGCGUGAGCCACCAUGCCCAGUCAGAUGGCAUCUUCUUCCAACAGAGGACUGUUUCAUCUACAUGGAAAAUCUAUGGUUGAGUGUAGCCACCUUCAUCAACGAUUUGAACUAGGUCUUCUAGAUAACUUGCUGCAGCUCCUACAUCAGUCCUUGCUGCUUCAUCUUGCACUGUUAUGUUAUAGAAAUGGCUUUUUCCCUUAAACCUCAUGAAACACCCUCUGCUAGCUUCCAAUUUUUCUUCUGCAGCUUCCUCACCUCUCUCAGCCUUUGUAGAAUUAAGGAGAAUUAAGGCCUUGCUCUGGAUUAGGCUUAGGCUUAAGAGAAUGCUGUGACUGGUUUGAUCUUCUACCCAGACCACUGAAACUUUCUCUAUAUCAACAAUAAUACUGCUUUGCUUUCCUAUCAUUGUAUGUUCACUGAGUAGCACUUUUAGUUUCCUUCAAGAACUUUUUCUUUGCAUUUACAACUUGGCUAAAUGUUUGGCACAAGAGGCCUGGUUUUCAGCCUAUCUCAGCUUUCAACUUGCCUUCCUCACAAGGCUUAAUCAUUUCUAGCUUUUCACUUAAAAUGAGAGAUAUGUGACUCUUCUUCCAUUUGAACACUUACAUGCCAUUGUAGGGUUAUGAAUUGGCCUAAUUUCAAUAUUGUUCUGUAUCAGGGAAUAGAGAGGCCUGAAGACAGGGAGAGAGACAGGGAAUGGCUUGUUGGUGAAGCAGUCAGAACACACACAAUGUUUAUCAAUUAAGUUCACUGUCUUCUGUGAGCAUGGUUUCAGGCACUCCAAAACAAUUACAACAGUAAUAUCAAAGAUAACUGAUCACAGAUCACCAUAACAGGCAUAGUAGUAUUGAAAACAUUUGAAAUAUUGUGAGAAUUAUCAAAAUGUAAUGCAGAGACACAAAGUAAACAUGUGCUGUUGAAAAAAUGAUACCAAUAGACUGGUUUGAGGCAAUGGUUGCCAUAAAACUUCAAUUUGUUAAAAAAAAAAAAAAAAGCAAUACCUGUAAAGUGCAAUAAAGCAAAGUGCAACCAAACAAGGCGUGCCUGUAUUUUGAAAUUCAAUUAAACUUUUUUUUUUUUUAAAGAAAGGAAUAUGCAUAUAUUCACUUCUGGAAAAUUUCAUUGAAAUGUAUUAUUUAUCACUUACUAUUAUAUGUAGUCCUUGUUGCUUAAUUUUAAAACAUCUCUGCUCCUUCUCCAAUCCCACCCCCACCUGUAGGCAGGUUUUAGGAUAAUACUCACAUGUCUGUAAAGCACUCUGAGAUCCUUGGCUAGAAGGUUCUGUAUCAAAGCAAAGAAUAUUUUGUUUUAUUGAUUGUUCACUAACACAUGAAGCAAUUUUCUGGAAAUG
rnacentral:lncRNA from 1 species